GUUUGCUGGAACUGGAAGACUUAUGAUUUAUGAUUUAAGAGUGCAUCUACACUGUAAAGCCAAUGCAGUUUGUCACUGUUUUAACUGCAAUGGCUGAAAGCUGUAGAGUCAUGGGAGUUGUAGUUUUACAAUGUCUGUAGUCUUCUCCACCAAAGAGUGCUAGUUCCUCAACAAACUACAAAUCUCAGGAAUUCAUAGCAUCACUGUUGGAAAUGCCAACCUUCUUCAAGCCUUCUCUAGUAAUCUUUAUCUAUGAACCUGUUGCUUAUUGUUUCCUAUAUGCAUGUUCUGGUAUGCAGCUUCCUUUACUCUGUGGUUCCUGAGAAGUUAUAAAAGGGGCUGCAGACCACAUGAUCACUACCAGCAGACUACAGACCACUUCAGACCUCAGAUAGCACACGUGGUUGCUGUUGUGCUGUAAGAGAUGUUCAGGCAGGAUGGCACAGAGAAUUAUCUCAAACAUAUCUGAAACUGGACUGAUAAGUUUUGUACCUGUGUAUGCUGAACACAUGAAGGUUUUUCUCAGACCUUUAGGGCAAGCCUCCUGAGGAGUCACUGGAUCCCUGGCUACAGACCUUCUUCACCCCAAAAGAGGUGGGAAGGGGACCAGAGAGAUGUACCCUGAACCAAUUGUUUUGGGAUAUUUGGAUGACAUAUUUCUCCAGGGUGCCAUGAUAAUGUAAUACACAAGAUAACAAAAUGUUCAAUAAAAAUU